AAGGAGGAAAAAAGAUAUGGAAAUUCAUAGAACAUCCAAGAGUUGGGCUAUAGUGUUUGUAUCUCUUGUUGUAACCUCCAAACAUCUUGGAAAUGCUGAUUUCUGUUGGCUUGAAUUCCAUUUUUUGUUACAGCAACAAGGAUGAAGCUCAAUCAGUGAAAGUUUCUGUUGAAGAUUAGCAAAACAGUAGUGAGAGUGACACUUUUU
rnacentral:misc_RNA from 1 species